rnacentral:rRNA from 1 species
GAAACGGCUACCACUUCUACGGAAGGCAGCAGGCACGCAAAUUACCCACUGGUCGAAGACCGAGGUAGUGACGAAAAAUAACGAUACCGGACUCAUCCGAGGCCCGGUAAUCGGAAUGAGUACACUUUAAAUCCUUUAACGAGGAACAAUUGGAGGGCAAGUCUGGUGCCAGCAGCCGCGGUAAUUCCAGCUCCAAUAGCGUAUAUUAAAGUUGUUGCGGUUAAAAAGCUCGUAGUUGGAUCUCGGCAGGCAGGGGGUGGUUCGCUCCUUAGCGCUACUGCCCCAUUUGCCUGUGUGAUUGGCAGAGGUUUCGGGGUGCCCUUUAUUGAGUGACCCGGAGCGCUGUCAGGUUUACUUUGAAAAAAUUAGAGUGCUCAAAGCAGGCUUUUCACGCUUGAAUAUUCGUGCAUGGAAUAAUAGAAUAGGAACUCGUUUCUAUUUUGUUGGUUUUCGGAAAUCGAGUUAAUGAUUAAUAGGGACAAUUGGGGGCAUUAGUAUUCAGACGACAGAGGUGAAAUUCUUGGACCGUCUGAAGACUAACUACUGCGAAAGCAUUUGCCAAGAGUGUUUUCAUUAAUCAAGAACGAAAGUUAGAGGUUCGAAGGCGAUCAGAUACCGCCCUAGUUCUAACCAUAAACGAUGCCAGCUAGCGAUCUGCCGAGUUUUUUUUGUAGGCUCCGCAGGAAGCUUUCGGGAAACCAAAGCUUUUGGGUUCCGGGGGAAGUAUGGUUGCAAAGCUGAAACUUAAAGGAAUUGACGGAAGGGCACCACCAGGAGUGGAGCCUGCGGCUUAAUUUGACUCAACACGGGAAAUCUCACCAGGCCCGGACACUGGAAGGAUUGACAGAUUGAGAGCUCUUUCUCGAUUCGGUGGGUGGUGGUGCAUGGCCGUUCUUAGUUGGUGGAGUGAUUUGUCUGGUUAAUUCCGAUAACGAACGAGACUCUGUCCUGCUAAAUAG